UACGGGGGGAGCAAGCGUUGUUCGGAUUUACUGGGCGUAAAGGGCGCGUAGGCGGUCAGCACAAGUCAGUUGUGAAAUCUCCGGGCUUAACUCGGAAAGGUCAACUGAUACUGUGCGACUAGAGUGCAGAAGGGGCAACUGGAAUUCUCGGUGUAGCGGUGAGAUGCGUAGAUAUCGAGAGGAACACCUGCGGCGAAGGUGGGUUGCUGGGCUGACACUGACGCUGAUGCGACGAAGCCAGGGGAGCGAACGGG
rnacentral:rRNA from 1 species